AAAUAUAGAUAAAUCUGUUAUAGAAUUGCUGUUAUCCCAGUUAGGUAAUGAAAUGACUACCCAUGGUAGCAUUUAAAUUUAGUUGGCAGGGAAAGCCAACGUAUGUUUCCUGCGAAUUAAAUUUAAAUGAUGCCAUGUUAGUUUUGAACAGAUACUAGCUGUUUAAAACUAACAUGCUAGAUGCUAGCUGUUUAAAUUAUGCCAUGUUAGUUUUGACAGAUGCUAGAUAUUUUGGCACGAAAUGCUAGUUACCUGGCAAGUUAUCUAGCAUUUCGUACCAAAAAACUAAGAGAUAAUUCUCUUGGAACUCCAACAAUACUUAAUCUGACUCCACUGCUUUCUACAAGUUGGAUACAGGUUUUGACACGUGGAGGUCCGAUUGAACCAAAUGACGACUGGCUACAAACAGUUAGUCAGUUUCAAAUUGUUUCCAGAACUCUUCAUGGAUCAAGCGAUAUUUUUUUUAACAUGGAAUUAUGACAAAUCUGUGCAAUGUUCUUCAUGGAAAAUUUUCUCACGUUAGAAAUGAAGUGAUAAAAAUUUAUGCUAUGACACGGAUUUCAAUUAGAUUUAAAUAUCUGAUUUCAACAUUAAAUCAGAUGCAAUUAAGAGAAACAGCAAAAAAGUUGCUGUUUCUCAUUAUUUAAACUUUUUAUUUUUGCAAUUAAAACACUUAUUACUGCUCACUUUAGAACUGGG
rnacentral:lncRNA from 1 species